rnacentral:lncRNA from 1 species
CGGUGAGCUCAGUCAAGAUGCAGCCGCCGUGCGAAAACCCGGCCCUGGCCGCUGCGGUGGCGGCGGCGGACAGCGCUCUGGGCCGCAGUCCCAGCGCCCGCAAGCCGGAGCGCGAGCAGCCGCCGGCGUCGCUGCGGCCGCGGCUGAAGGACCUGCCUGCACUGCUGCGGAGCGGGCUCACGCUGCGGAGAAAGCAGAGCGCCGCCGGGGGCCGGGACUGGACGGAGCCGGUGUGGGUUCCAGAACGCCUGACAAGAAGAGUCCCGACAAAUACAUCUGAGUUAAAUAUAACCACUUUGGCCAUUACUUCCCAGGUGUUAAUUCCGUUGUCUCCUUCCAAUCAGACCUCUAAUGCCACUCAUUUUAAGGCUUCUCCUUAUUGCACCCCUGAGUAUGGCUUCCCUCCUAUAUUUACACCUUGUCAAGAUCACUCUUGGGAGAAACAUCAGGUCGCUAAAGGUUUUUCCCUUUCCCCCCUCUCUCAAAAGGUACUUGUAUAAUUCUUCCAACAAUAAUUCCUCUAUAGGAGCAGGUUGGUCCUGGUUUCAAUGGUUGAUUUCCAAUGAAAAGAGAGCCACAGCUGACAUCUCCGCUUUGGCUCAAUUACGAGGAGUCCAAAGUUGGCUGUUUAAUGUUUCUGGCAGUACCCAAGACUCGGAAUGAGGUAGGAGACUCGGAAAUUUUUCACGUAAUUCACAAUUAAGUAAUGCUACGUUACCCUCCGCAGCAGUCUGUCUCCAAUCUCCGUUCCUGUUUCUUUUGGCUAAUGAUACAUCACAGGGGAUGCUUAAUUGUUCUAAUGUUACCUGCUACUUGUCUGAGUGUUGGAAUGGAUCCUGGACUAUGGCAGUGAUUAUGAAAAUUCCAACCUUUGUCCCAAUCCCGGUUACUGCAGAUCCAGAAUCCUUUCCUAUUGUAGAACUGAUUAGAGCCCAUAGAGAUUUUGGAAUUACGGCAGCUAUAGUGACAGCUGUGGCAGUGUCUGCUGCUGCAGCAGUUACAGCUGGAGUACCCAUGGCCAGCCAGGUUCAAACUGCUGCCACUAUUAAUCAGGUUAUUCAACAAACAUCCACCAUACUUGAAUCUCAAAGUAGAAUUAAUCAACACAUUCUGUCUAGGAUUUUGGCUGCUAAUCAAAGGAUAGAUCUGCUUCAAGCUCAAGUUGAGGAAUUGUCUGACCUAGUACUUUUGGGUUGUAUUGAUCAACGUGCACAUUUAUGUAUAAUCUCUGUCAGAUUUAAUGAUUCCAGGAAUGCCUCCCGCAUCAUCGGGGAAUAUCUAUCCGGAACCUGGUCCAUGGAAGCAGAAAACUUGAUCCAGUCUCAACUAACUCAGAUUGCUGUUUUGAAUAGCACCCGUGUCGAACCAGUGCCUUUGGGUCAAUUCACCAGUUGGCUAUCAUCUGCCUUUUCCUUUUUUAAGGAAUGGGUGGGAGUGGGCAUUUUUGGUGCUAUGUGUUGCUUCGGUGUUGUGCUUUGUUUGUGGCUUCUCUGUCGCCUUAAAACUCGCCAUGCGCAAGAGAAGGCUAUGAUCAUACAGGCUCUUGCGGCCUUAGAAAAUGGCAUUUCUCCACAAAUCUGGCUUGCACAUCUUAAACAGUGAUUUCUGGGCAUGGUCAUUGCACCCCAAGUUAUUUUCACAUUGCACUGGGAUUGAUAUGCCCUCUUCUUUAUGCUCUCCCAGUGCUGAAUAGCCUUUGCACUCUGCAGGUCUUGUUACCAUUGCACGCAGAUGGGUUUCAGGACUGGUCUUUCUUCUCGGCUACAGACUCUUUACCUUCCUCUGGGGCUUAGGGAUUGUGUUGCCAACUUAAUUUUUGUCAUUACUACCAGGCUACCUGUGUUAUCCUACUUCUCGCCGUCGUCACGAUGCAGGAUGCGAGGCAAGGCACUGCACUUGAGUGAUCCCUCAACGGACCUCAAGGAAAGCAUGUCCUAUUGCAUGCGGGUUUGACGUCCACGCCCCACCCUACGAAAAAAUGUGUCCGCUGAUAUGGGGUCAGGUCUGGGGAAGGGGCCUCCUUAGGACUGAACCAUACACUGCAGCCACUACUGCACAGUGGGAUAGGACCUCUACUUUCGCCUGCAUUGUUUUAUAAUAAGGAAGGGGGAACUGUGGUGAGCCAUUCUUAUAGACCGUGGCCGCCAUUAGAAGAUGGCGCCGGCUUCCACUGUGGCCUGUGAUAAACAACUCCUUUUAUGGAGAAUUGGCGUGCAAUCCCUGACCACCCUAUGAGAAAGAUCCACGUGGCGGCUUAAGAUUGGUAUGCAGGAGGCUUUAUUAGGCUAUGCUUGGGCGGUCUGCGGGUGGUCGCUAGAAGAUGAUACUUGAAUCAAGGCCUGAAUAAACUGCUGAAAGAAGAAUCCUGUGUCGUGUUUUCCCUUGCCGGCGAGGGGUCACGACAGUUGCACCAAUUUGCAGUGCCAUCAGCAAUGUAUGAGUGUACAUUUUCCCCCACAUCCUUGCUAAUACUUAUUAUUGCUUGUACAACCAUUCUGGAAAGCAGUACAGAGAGUCCUUAAAAAACUUGGAAUGGAACCACCGUUUGACCAAGCUAUCCCACUCCUCUCUCUAUACCCAAAGGACUUAAAAUCAGCAUACUAUAGUGAUGAAGCCACAUCAAUGUUUAUAGCAGCUCAAUUCACAAUAACUGAACUGUGGAACCAAACCAGAUGCCCUUCCAUAGAUGAAUGAAUAAAGAAACUGUGGUAUUACCCAGCCUUAAAAUAGAAUAAAAUUAUGGCAUUUGCAGGUAAAUGGAUGGAGUUGGAGAUAUCAUGCUAAGCGAAGUAAGCCAAU